UCCUCGACUAUUUCGCCAAAA
ensembl:piRNA 21ur-5082 ncRNA